rnacentral:rRNA from 1 species
AAUCUUGCGCAAUGGGCGAAAGCCUGACGCAGCGACCCCGCGUGAGCGAUGAAUGCCUGCGGGUUGUAAAGCUCCGUGGAGAGGGACGGUAAAGGGCUGGCGAAUACCCAGCCUCAUUACGGUACCUCCUUAGCAAGCACCGGCUAAACCUGUGCGAGCAGCCGCGGUAAGACAGAGGGUGCAAACGUUAUUCGGAAUUACUGGGCGUAAAGCGCGUGUAGGCGGCUAUGCAAGUCGGAUGUGAAAUCCCGCGGCUCAACCGUGGAAGUGCAUCCGAAACUGCGUGGCUAGAGUCCCGGAGAGGAAGGUGGAAUACUUGGUGUAGAGGUGAAAUUCGUAGAUAUCAAGUGGAACACCGGUGGCGAAGGCGGCCUUCUGGACGGUGACUGACGCUGAGACGCGAAAGCGUGGGUAGCAAACA